GGCGAGUGAAGCGGCAAAAGCUCAAAUUUGAAAUCUGAGGCUUUCAGCCCCCGAGUUGUAAUUUGAAGAUGGUGUUCUGGUGCCGGCCCCCUGUCUACGUUCCUUGGAACAGGACAUCACAGAGGGUGAGAAUCCCGUCUGGCGGGGCGGCCUGGCUCCGUGUAGAGCGCCAUCGACGAGUCGAGUUGUUUGGGAAUGCAGCUCUAAGUGGGUGGUAAAUUCCAUCUAAAGCUAAAUAUUGGCGAGAGACCGAUAGCGAACAAGUACAGUGAUGGAAAGAUGAAAAGAACUUUGAAAAGAGAGUGAAAAAGUACGUGAAAUUGUUGAAAGGGAAGGGUAUUGGAUCAGACUUGGUGCUGUGCGAAUAGCGGCCCUUCUUGGGCUGCCCACUCGCACUCCACCGGGCCAGCAUCGGUUUGGGCGGCAAGACAAUGGCGGGGGAACGUGGCACUGCUCUCGGGCAGUGUGUUUAUAGCCCCCGCUGAUGUUGCCUGCCUAGACCGAGGACUGCGGCUUCUGCCUAGGAUGCUGGCGUAAUGAUCCAACACCGCCCGUCUUGA
rnacentral:rRNA from 1 species